ACUGCAUUUUUAGCCAUGGUGGCUAAAAACUCACAAGUGUAGGUAAUGUGCAAGUCUUGGGAGGGGCAAGUCUUGGGCUUACACAAGGACCUCUUCUGGCCUAUUGAGUGGAGUUUGAUAGUAAUUCUUGCUAUAAGC
rnacentral:snoRNA from 1 species